rnacentral:lncRNA from 1 species
ACCAGCUAACAUUUGCUGCACGAUCUAUUCCACAGCUCCUCGAACAUUCCUGUACGAAGUACUUGGGCCCAGAGCCGGGCAGAGGAGGGUAGUUCUCUCCCAGCUAUGGUUGAGGAGCCCAGUCCUGAUACGGCAGCACCAUGUUCAGGACUGACACCCGCUGAUCCUCUGCCCCCAUGCCUCUCAAUUCUGGUUCCAAACCAGUUGCCCCAUGUCUAAACAGAGUUUUAAUAUUGCCCACCUGCUUGACUUUCUACCUGGCUUGGGUCUCAGGGUCUUUCCUGAACGAGUCUCUGAACUUGCCUUGGCCAAGUCCAGCCCCUUUUACAAGCUCAUCACCAGCUCCAGAGGAGGCCGCGCCAACUCCAGGCCACAAGGCUCCUGUGGUGUGGAAGAGAGAAUCCAACUCACUGAGUGCCUUCUUCCUUCCAGAGGACCAGCAAAUGACCCACAGGUCAUGAGGAAGAGAGAAUAUUCUCAGUCCAGGGCAGGCAAAGACGUGGUGGGAGCUGGUGAAGUCAGACAUUGUGCCUCGAGAAGACUCUCUCUAGGAGCUGUAGACGUGAGCCUAGAAUGCAUAGCUUGAUAAUCAAAGAUGGUGAGACAUUUCAGCAAAAGAGGCCAUGUGCUCAGGGGUCAAGAGUAUCGGACUGGAAUAAGCCUCAGAAGAGCCUGCCUCUGCCCCAUAUGGGCCACGUGACCACGGAGAACUCACUCUCCCUGGCGAGGCCUACUGAGGGCCUUGGUCCUUCUUCUCUGUGACAUGGAUAUGAACUCGUACUGAGCUCACAGAGCUGUUCAGGGAAUUAAAUGAGUCCAUGCCUCUGAAUGGCUGAGCACAAUGCCUGGCGCCGCAGAAGCCUUUGGUAGGUGUAGUUCAUGUGUUAUUUGCUUAUCAGACCAUUCACGAAAAACCAGGACUGCUGAGUACCAGCCACCUGCUCCAAUCAAGACCUUUCCCAGCUGGACCCAGGAAAGUAUCCAGUGAGUGGCAAAGCCAUUUCCGGCCUCCUAAGGGAACGAGGAGUCAACCAGAACCGGUCAAUCUUUUUAAAGAAUAAGCUGGAAAAGACCAAAAAUUAAGGCGAGGCUACAGCAGCUGUUGUGUAGCAACAGGACACAGUGUUUGCUUUCUCUAAACGAGAGCUCAGUCUUCUGAUGCCAGCUGACCCUGUGCUUGCUUCCUAAGUCUUGGAAGAACCUACAGCAGAAGAACUAAGGGGACAGACAGAAAGGAGGAACCAGCAAGGACACUAAGAGAGGAAGAAAAGCAAGAGUGGGGCAUUUGGGAAGCCAAGUGAAGAAGAUGCAUCCAGAAAAUGGGAAUAAUCAACUGCGCCAAAUCCUUUGGAGAAGAAUCAGUGAUGGGAACAUAGAAAUUUAAGCCUCUUCCCCCUAAAAAAAUUAAGACUAGGAAAAUAAAUGAUGCGCGAGAAAAGAAAUGCAAUUCUAGUAUGCUCUAGGGUUCAGCUCUAAAUAAUAUUUCCAAAGUCAUAGUAAUGUAACAGUGGACUAUUGAUCUAACCAAAAACUCUACGGAGCUCUCCUGGGAGGAUGGUGGCAAGGGAAGCACGAUGUGGCGGGAAGGAGCAGAGGGGUGUGUGUAACAGAGCAAUGUCGCCAUCCCCAGCAGAAAGUCACUGCGUAGUAGCUAGAGCUUAAAAUAAUAUCACCGGCCUUGGGGUGAGGAGAAUGGAAGGGUGACUUAGGGACAGCUUUCUUCCCGUAAUAAGCCUUAUGGAACUAUUUGCUUUCCAAAUUAUGUAUAUGUAUAACAUUAAUAAAAAUUAAAAUGAAAACAUUAAGGAGGGGGCAAU